AUUGAACGCUGGCGGCAGGCCUAACACAUGCAAGUCGAGCGGAUGAAGGGAGCUUGCUCCUGGAUUCAGCGGCGGACGGGUGAGUAAUGCCUAGGAAUCUGCCUGGUAGUGGGGGAUAACGUCCGGAAACGGGCGCUAAUACCGCAUACGUCCUGAGGGAGAAAGUGGGGGAUCUUCGGACCUCACGCUAUCAGAUGAGCCUAGGUCGGAUUAGCUAGUUGGUGGGGUAAAGGCCUACCAAGGCGACGAUCCGUAACUGGUCUGAGAGGAUGAUCAGUCACACUGGAACUGAGACAAGGUCCAGACUCCUACGGGAAGCAGCAGUGGGGAAUAUUGGACCAUGGGCGAAAGCCUGAUCCAGGCAUGCCGCGUGUGUGAAGAAGGUCUUCGGAUUGUAAAGCACCUUAAGGUGGGAGGAAGGGCAGUAAGUUAAUACCUUGCUGUUUUGACGUUACCAACAGAAUAAGCACCGGCUAACUUCGUG
rnacentral:rRNA from 1 species